rnacentral:rRNA from 1 species
CAGCAGCCGCGGGAAUACGGAGGGAGCUAGCGUUGUUCGGAAUUACUGGGCGUAAAGCGUGCGUAGGCGGCUUUUUAAGUCGGAUGUGAAAUCCCUGAGCUUAACUUAGGAAUUGCAUUCGAUACUGGGAAGCUAGAGUAUGGGAGAGGAUGGUAGAAUUCCAGGUGUAGCGGUGAAAUGCGUAGAGAUCUGGAGGAAUACCGAUGGCGAAGGCAGCCAUCUGGCCUAAUACUGACGCUGAGGUACGAAAGCAUGGGGAGCAAACAGGAUUAGAUACCCCGGUAGUCCCUGUCUCUUAUAC